rnacentral:rRNA from 1 species
UACGAAGGGGGGCUAGCGUUGCUCGGAAUCACUGGGCGUAAAGGGCGCGUAGGCGGCCAUUCAAGUCGGGGGUGAAAGCCUGUGGCUCAACCACAGAAUUGCCUUCGAUACUGUUUGGCUUGAGUUUGGUAGAGGUUGGUGGAACUGCGAGGUGUAGAGGUGAAAUUCGUAGAUAUUCGCAAGAACACCAGUGGCGAAGG